AGUGAACGCUGGCGGCGUGCUUAACACUUGCAAGUCGAACGAGAACGGAAUAUAGCUUGCUAUAUUUGUCAGUUAAGUGGCGCACGGGUGAGUAAUGUAUAGAUAACCUGCCCUUAAGAAAGGAAUAACAGUUGGAAACGACUGCUAAUGCCCUAUAUGCCUUUAAUACAUAAGUAUGCAAGGGAAACGCUUUAGUGCUUAAGGAUGGGUCUGUAUGGUAUCAGCUUGUUGGUGAGGUAAUGGCUCACCAAGGCUAUGACGCCUAACUGGUUUGAGAGGAUGAUCAGUCACACUGGAACUGAGACACGGUCCAGACUCCUACGGGAGGCAGCAGUGGGGAAUAUUGCACAAUGGACGAAAGUCUGAUGCAGCAACGCCGCGUGGAGGAUGACACAUUUCGGUGCGUAAACUCCUUUUAUAUAGGAAGAUAAUGACGGUACUAUAUGAAUAAGCACCGGCUAACUCCGUGCCAGCCGCCGCGGUAA
rnacentral:rRNA from 1 species